AAAAACCCUUGUUUCCCCCUUUUUUGCCCCUAAUUGCUUAAUGAUUUGAUCCAUUACCCCCUAUAACCAUCCCUUUGUAGUAUGGAAACUUGUGGUAUAAUUUCAGAGAGAUUUUUACACUUAAACACAAGUUAUUGACUGAAAACUACAAAAUGCUUAUUUGGGCCCUUUUUUGUCCCCUCACUUAUUGAAACCCCCUUGGAGCAAGAACACCAAAACUCAAUUCCAGCCUUUCCUUUGUAGUAAGAAACCUU
rnacentral:lncRNA from 1 species